GAUGAACGCUGGCGGCGUGCCUAAUACAUGCAAGUCGAGCGAACGGACGAGAAGCUUGCUUCUCUGAUGUUAGCGGCGGACGGGUGAGUAACACGUGGAUAACCUACCUAUAAGACUGGGAUAACUUCGGGAAACCGGAGCUAAUACCGGAUAAUAUUUUGAACCGCAUGGUUCAAAAGUGAAAGACGGUCUUGCUGCCACUUAUAGAUGGAUCCGCGCUGCAUUAGCUAGUUGGUAAGGUAACGGCUUACCAAGGCAACGAUGCAUAGCCGACCUGAGAGGGUGAUCGGCCACACUGGAACUGAGACACGGUCCAGACUCCUACGGGAGGCAGCAGUAGGGAAUCUUCCGCAAUGGGCGAAAGCCUGACGGAGCAACGCCGCGUGAGUGAUGAAGGUCUUCGGAUCGUAAAACUCUGUUAUUAGGGAAGAACAAAUGUGUAAGUAACUGUGCACAUCUUGACGGUACCUAAUCAGAAAGCCACGGCUAACUACGUG
rnacentral:rRNA from 1 species